GGCGGCAUGGCCAAGUGGUAAGGCGGGGGACUGCAAAUCCUUUAUCCCCAGUUCAAAUCCGGGUGUCGCCUGAUCAACAAA
rnacentral:tRNA from 62 species